rnacentral:rRNA from 1 species
ACUACGGGGGGCUGCAGUGGGGGAUAUUGCACAAUGGGGGGAACCCUGAUGCAGCGACGCCGCGUGGGUGAAGAAGCGCCUCGGCGCGUAAAGCCCUGUCAGCAGGGAAGAAAAUGAUGGUACCUGAAGAAGAAGCCCCGGCUAACUACGUGCCAGCAGCCGCGGUAAUACGUAGGGGGCAAGCGUUCUCCGGAUUUACUGGGUGUAAAGGGGGCGCAGACGGCGAUGCAAGCCAGGAGUGAAAGCCCGGGGCCCAACCCCGGGACUGCGCUUGGAACUGCGUGGCUGGAGUGCAGGAGGGGCAGGCGGAAUUCCUGGUGUAGCGGUGAAAUGCGUAGAUAUCAGGAGGAACACCGGUGGCGAAGGCGGCCUGCUGGACUGCAACUGACGUUGAGGCCCGAAAGCGUGGGGAGCAAACAGGAUUAGAUACCCGGGUAGUC